CUCCCUUUGAUGCUAAGGAAAACAACGACUUUAGUCAUCAUUGAGACAAUGGCAAUGGACUCAAUGGUUCCAAAAUCAAAUACACGAACAAUAUAUUACAUUUUGCAGCAUAUAGAUGUCUAGAUCUGUUAUAUUGAUAGUGAGCCUGGAGUUCAGUUGGAAAAUUUUAUUUACCCAAACGAAAACAAAAAUAGCUUAAAAGUGGGACACUAUUGGAUAAAGUUGGUCAUCACCACCAGGCAAAAAUUGGUCAUCACCACCAGGCAA